GAUGAACGCUAGCUACAGGCUUAACACAUGCAAGUCGAGGGGCAGCAUGGUCGAAGCUUGCUUCGACUGAUGGCGACCGGCGCACGGGUGCGUAACGCGUAUCGAACCUGCCCUAUACACGGGGAUAGCCUUGCGAAAGUAAGAUUAAUACCCGAUGCCAAGUUGAGAUCGCAUGAUUUUGAUUUGAAAGAAAUUCGGUAUAGGAUGGCGAUGCGUCUGAUUAGGUAGAUGGUGGGGUAACGGCCCACCAUGCCGACGAUCAGUAGGGGUUCUGAGAGGAAGGUCCCCCANAUUGGAACUGAGACACGGUCCAAACUCCUACGGGAGGCAGCAGUGAGGAAUAUUGGUCAAUGGUCGCGAGACUGAACCAGCCAAGUAGCGUGCAGGACGACGGCCCUCUGGGUUGUAAAACUGCUUUUAGUUGGGAAUAAAAGGCGGUACGUGUACCGCGUAUUGUAUGUACCAUCAGAAAAGACGGCUAAAUUCCGUGCCAGCAGCCG
rnacentral:rRNA from 1 species